UCUGCGCGGGAGCUCAGCUCCUCCCUCCACGGCCCCCGGCUGAGCGAGAGGCGGGAAACGGCCGUCGCUGCCGCAGCCCUCCCGAUCCCUCUCCCGGUGCCGGGCCGGCUGGGUGCCGCAUCCCUCUGCGUCCCGCUGACCUGUCAGUUCACUUCACGGUUGGAGCCUGCGGGGGCUGAGCGGGGGACACUUCGGCACCGCUUUCCCCGCUCAGGUCCGGGAGCCCGCGUGUCAGGCCGUCAGUCGGUCCUCACGCUGCGCCGAGGGACAUGACCUUCAUUUGGAGAAGUUGUUUGCUUUUCUGAGUCUUUCACACUGCUGCUUCAGAGUCACUGGAGGAGGCCUGGUUUCUCAUGGAAUGAUCACUGAAGUCAGCUUAAGUUAGUUACUUCAACCUCGGCCCCGCUGUCACGUGUGUCCUGGAGUGGGGAGCCGGGAAGACAGAACAGGGUCCUGAUCAGCCACAUCGGGCUCCGUGGCAUCUCCCCACAGGCUUCCAGUCCGUCACCGAGCCCUCCAGUCUCCCACUUCUUCCUCUAACAGUGCCUCCGUGGCACCUGUGAAUUCCCCUUAAAGUCAUGGAUUUCAGGAUCUGAUUUGACCUAAGAUAUCCCACGAUACCCAGACAUAAUUUGGUAGAAUUUAGCUGCUCACUGUACUGCUUUAUCAUACAAUACAGAGAUUGACUAGGACAUACAUAAUUCCUUUUGUUGACAAACUACUUAGGAUCUUCCAAAAAGAAGUAGGUAACUCUCCUCUCAGCUUUCACUGCAAAUGCUCAAUAAAAUCUCACAGUAUGUUUCA